rnacentral:rRNA from 1 species
UAAAAAGCUCGUAGUUGGAUUUCGGAAGGUCCUUAGUAAUCCGCCCCUUCGGGGAGCGGGUUACUGGCCUCCUAUGUUCCUAACGGUCCUCAUCCGCGAGGGUGGGGAAUCAACCGCUAGGAUCGUUUACUUUGAGGAAAUUAGAGUGUUCAAAGCAGGCGUAACUCGCCUCCGAAUACGUUAGCAUGGGAUAAUGGAAUACGACUUCGGUCUUGUUUCGUUGGUUUCGCUUGGCUGAAGUAAUGAUUGAUAGGGACAGUUGGGGGCAUUAGUAUUUAGUUGUCAGAGGUGAAAUUCUAGGAUUUACUAAAGACUGACCAAUGCGAAAGCAUUUGCCAAGGAUGUUUUCAUUAAUCAAGAACGAAAGUAGGGGGAUCGAAGACGAUCAGAUACCGUCGUAGUCUCUACCGUAAACUAUGCCGACCAGGGAUCCGGAGAGUUUGCAUGGAUGACUCCCCGGGCACCUUGUGAGAAAUCAUAAGUGUUUGGGUUUUGGGGGGAGUAUGGUCGCAAGGCUGAAACUUAAAGGAAUUGACGGAAGGGCACCACCAGGAGUGGAACCUGCGGCUUAAUUUGACUCAACACGGGGAAACUUACGAGGUCAGGACACUGUGAGGAUUGACAGAUUGAAAGCUCUUUCUUGAUUCAGUGGGUGGUGGUGCAUGGCCGUUCUUAGUUGGUGGAGUGAUUUGUCUGGUUAAUUCCGUUAACGAACGAGACCUUAACCUGCUAAAUAGUCACGCGAACCGGUCCGCAAGGGCUCAAAGUUCGCGGCUCGACUUCUUAGAGGGACUAUUCGCACCCGCCAGCGAAUGGAAGUUUGAGGCAAUAACAGGUCUGUGAUGCCCUUAGAUGUUCUCGGCCGCACGCGCGUUACACUGACGGAGUCAACGAGCGUUUUUCCUUGCCCGAAAGGGUUGGGUAACCUCCUGAAACUCCGUCGUGAUGGGGAUAGAUCAUUGCAAUUAUUGAUCUUGAACGAGGAAUUCCUAGUAGGCGCGAGUCAUCAACUCGCGCCGAUUACGUCCCUGCCCUUUGUACACACCGCCCGUCGCUCCUACCGAUUGAACGGUCCGGCGAGAACUCCGGAUGGUCGGCACGCAGGGGUCAAACCCUGUGUCCGUGCCAGAAGCUGUUCGAACCUUA